UACAGAGGGGGCAAGCGUUGUUCGGAAUUACUGGGCGUAAAGGGCGCGUAGGCGGCCUUCUAAGUCGAACGUGAAAUCCCUGGGCUCAACCCAGGAACUGCGUCCGAGACUGGGAGGCUAGAAUCCGGGAGAGGGAUGUGACGUACUCGUGAGUGAGAGCGGUGAAAUGCGUAGAUAUCUGGAGGAACACCGGUGGCGAAGGCGGCAUCCUGGACCGACACUGACACUGAGGAGCGAAAGCCAGGGGAGCAAACGGG
rnacentral:rRNA from 1 species